UCCAGGUGGAUUGGAGCUUGUUGUUGGUGUGUGUGUUUGAAGAAACUGUGAAGGUAGAAGGUGUGUGUGAGCUGAUGUGAAUUCAGCAGCAUGGGUGGCCAUGAAAGCAAACACGAGGAAGUCCCUCCCUCUAAAACCACUCUGUGUGGGGAACAUGAGAGCCAGACCAAAGCUCAGAGGAACCAACCUGGACCUGGACCUGAACCUGAUCCAGAUUCAGAUUCCAGCUGUGAAUCCUUCAAGAGUUGCCAGUCUAGAAGGUCCUUCAUUCUUUUUAAAGUCCAC